AGCGAACGCUGGCGGCAGGCUUAACACAUGCAAGUCGAGCGCCCCGCAAGGGAAGCGGCGGACUGGCGGGUGGCGCGUGGCAACAUACCUUUUGGUUCGGAACAACUUAGUGUUACUUGAGCUAAUACCUGAGAAGCCCUUCCGGGGUAAGACAUAUCGCCUAAGGGUUGGCCCGCGUGUGCUUAGCUCGUUGGUGGGGUAAAGGCUCACCAAGGCGACUAGCAGGAGCUGGUCUGAGAGGAAGAUCAGCGACACGGGGGCUGGGACACAGCCCAGACUGCUACGGGAGGCAGCAGUGGGGGAUAUUGGACAAUGGGGGCAACCCUGAUCCAGCCAGGCCGCGUGAGUGAUGAAGGCCGUAGGGUUGUAAAGCUCUUUUGCCCGGGAAGAUAAUGACGGUACCGGGAGAAUAAGCCCCGGCUAACUUCAUG
rnacentral:rRNA from 1 species